UACAGAGGGGCAAGCGUUAUUCGGAAUUAUUGGGCGUAAAGGGCGCGUAGGCGGCUUGGCAAGUGGAUGGUGAAAUCCCUCGGCUUAACCGAGGAACUGCCGUCCAAACUGCUUUGCUUGAGACCGGGAGAGGUGAGUGGAAUUCCCAGUGUAGCGGUGAAAUGCGUAGAUAUCAGGAGGAACACCGGUGGCGAAGGCGGAUCUCUGGGCCUUACCUGACGCUCAGGCGCGAAAGCUAGGGGAGCGAACUGG
rnacentral:rRNA from 1 species